GACGAACGCUGGCGGCGUGCCUAAUACAUGCAAGUCGAACGCAGUGGGGACGGGUGAGUAACACGUGGGUAACCUCCCAUCAGAGGGGAUAACACUUGGCAACAGGUGCUAAACCGAUAGUGAUGGAUGAACCCGCGGUGCAUUAGCGAGUUGGUGAGGUGACUGCUCACCAAGGCCCCGAUGCAUAACCGACCUGAGAGUGUGCUCGGCACCACUGGGACUGAGACACGGCCCAGACCCCUACGGGAGGCAGCAGUAGGGAAUUUUCCGCAAUGGACGAAAGUCUGCCCGAGCAACGCCGCGGGAGUUAAGAAGGUUUUCGGAUCGUAAAACUCUGUUGUUAGAGAAGCGGUAUCUAACCAGAAAGACACGGCUAACUACGUGCCAGCCGCCGCGGUAAUUC
rnacentral:rRNA from 1 species